ensembl:snRNA U4 U4 spliceosomal RNA
GGCUUUGCACAGUGGCAGUAUGGUAGCCAAUGAGGUUUAUCCGAGGCGCGAUUAUUGCUAAUUGAAAACAAAAAUAGACCCACAAAUAAAAGUCAGCUGAUUUUUGAAAAGGUGUCAAUUCA